GGCAGUAGCAAGUGAAAACUUUGAAGACCGAAGUGGAGAAGGGUUCCAUGUGAACAGCACAUGGGUCAGUCGAUUGUGAGAACGAGGCGAAAGCCUAGGCGCAGCGAUGUCGCACGGUCCUUGUCGCACGACAAGCACGCCGUACCGUUCGAAAGGGAAUCCGGUUGAAAUUCCGGAACCAAGUCACAGAGAUGUACAUCCGCGGCUGCGGUUUUCGUGGCCUCAGCGGCGACGGCGGCGGUGGUUCGUCGAACGGCUCUCGUGACUACAAGUAUGCGGGACAGGUGCGCGCGGUAACGCUCCUGAUCUUGGUGAGCACCCAUCGGCAGUUCUUCAUAAGGCACGAAGUCGCUGGAACCUGAUUGCCCGGAGAUAGCGACGAUGUCGCCGCAAAACGCCAUGUCUUCCAUUGCGUUCGGAAUGCUCUCGACGGUCCGUGAAAAGCCGAGCUACGCCGUAUAAAUUUGUGCUCGUUCGUACCGAUAUCCGCAGCAGGUCUCCAAUGUGAACAACCUCUGGCC
rnacentral:ncRNA from 1 species